rnacentral:tRNA from 1 species
UAUAUUUUAGUGUAAGAUGCACGUAGGUUUUUGACGCUUAAGGGGAUAGUUUAAUUCUAUUGAAUGUAA